UAGGCAGCAGUGGGGAAUAUUGCACAAUGGGCGCAAGCCUGAUGCAGCCAUGCCGCGUGUAUGAAGAAGGCCUUCGGGUUGUAAAGUACUUUCAGUCGUGAGGAAGGUGUUAAGGUUAAUAACCUUAGCAAUUGACGUUAGCGACAGAAGAAGCACCGGCUAACUCCGUGCCAGCAGCCGCGGUAAUGCGGAGGGUGCGAGCGUUAAUCGGAAUUACUGGGCGUAAAGGGCACGCAGGCGGUUAAUUAAGUUGGAUGUGAAAUCCCCGGGCUUAACCUGGGAAUGGCAUUCAAGACUGGUUAGCUAGAGUCUUGUAGAGGGGGUAGAAUUCCAUGUGUAGCGGUGAAAUGCGUAGAGAUGUGGAGGAAUACCGGUGGCGAAGGCGGCCCCUGGACAAAGACUGACGCUCAUGUGCGAAAGCGUGGGGAGCAAACAGGGAUUAGAUACC
rnacentral:rRNA from 1 species